UGUGGGCAAAGCUUUAUUCAGACUAUAAAGCAGGCCAACAUCAUUGUAAAAUGCCCACAUGUUUACAACAUGCUCUGUAGGAAUAGGGUACAACAAUUUGGAAAGUUAUGUUCUUUCUCUCUCAAUUUGGUCCUCCCUUCUUCCUGUUUCCUUCUCUUCCCCUGAGAAGCAGUGGUUUCCUGUGGUCGGUGUGAAGCUGACAGAAAAUAUAUGACGGGGAGGAAGGAACACUGGAGGACUAUAGAAUUACACAGCCACAGUAGACACAUUAGUUAAGGUUGAGAAUACUGUGUUAUUUGUGUAAUAGAGUGUUGAUGUUACAACCAUCAACCAUCAUGUGCACACAUGUCAUAGUGGUUUUCAACAGCAUUUCCUGUACCGAGAAAUACACUGUUUUCUCUGAUAAAAAAGGGUGAAACAAGGCCACAAUACUGUGAAAGGCUGUUUGAACACAGGGAACCAUAGCAUGUCAUGUAAUAACAACAGUAGUCACAAUGACUGGAGCCAGCUGUACAGAGACACAACUCUGACCACUCCACCACCUCUAAAAAUGUUAGUGGCCAAUAUAUCUGUUACAUUUGUAUCAGUGGAGGCUGCUGAGGGGAGGGCGGCUCAUAAUAAUGGCUGGAAUGGAGUAAAUGGAAUGGCAUCAAACACAUGGAAACCAUGUGUUUGAUGUAUUUGAUACCAUUCCACUAAUUAUAGCCAUUACCACGAGCCAUCUUCCCCAAUUAAGGUGCACCAAACCUUCUGUGAUUUGUACUAUACUUCACGUUGCAUAUGGCCAAGUAAUAUAAAGAUAACUUCCUCCUACUCUAUUUAUGUUUAAUCAGACUUUAAAAAUGUAUCGCAAUAUCUUCUUGAUAAGCUCUGUAGAUCUCUAGCUUCAGUGAAAACCACUUUCAAUAUUUCCCCUCUUUCUAAUCAUAUUUAACCGGUCAAAAGUUUUAGAACAUCUACUCAUUCAAGGGUUUUUCUUUAUUUUUACUAUUUUAGAAUAAUAGUGAAGACAUCAAGUGAAGAUAUCAAAACUAUGAAAUAGCACAUAUGGAAUCAUGUAGUAACCAAAAAAGUGUUAAACAAAUCAAAAUAUAUUUUACAUUUUAGAUUCUUCAAAUAGCCACCCCUUGCCUCAAUGACAGCAUUGCAC
rnacentral:lncRNA from 1 species